rnacentral:rRNA from 2 species
GCCGAGAAAAGCUUCUAGUGAGUACUUAACUACCCGUACCGCAAACCGACACAGGUAGUCGAGGAGAGAAUCCUAAGGUGAGCGAGUGAACUCUCGUUAAGGAACUCGGCAAAAUGACCCCGUAACUUCGGGAGAAGGGGUGCUGAUCACAAGAUCAGCCGCAGUGAAUAGGCCCAGGCGACUGUUUAUCAAAAACACAGGUCUCUGCAAAAUCGUAAGAUGACGUAUAGGGGCUGACGCCUGCCCGGUGCUGGAAGGUUAAAAGGAUGGGUUAGCUUCGGCGAAGCUCAGAAUUGAAGCCCCAGUAAACGGCGGCCGUAACUAUAACGGUCCUAAGGUAGCGAAAUUCCUUGUCGGGUAAGUUCCGACCCGCACGAAAGGCGUAACGAUCUGGGCACUGUCUCAACGAGAGACUCGGUGAAAUUAUAUUGUCCGUGAAGAUGCGGACUACCCGCGACAGGACGGAAAGACCCCAUGGAGCUUUACUGUAGCUUGAUAUUGAGUGUUUGUACAGCUUGUACAGGAUAGGUAGGAGCCAUAGAAACC